UACGUAGGGCGCAAGCGUUGUCCGGAAUUAUUGGGCGUAAAGAGCUCGUAGGCGGCCUUUUGCGUCCGCUGUGAAAUCCCGGGGCUUAACCCCGGGCUUGCAGUGGAUACGGGCAGGCUGGAGGCAGGCAGGGGAGAACGGAAUUCCCGGUGUAGCGGUGAAAUGCGCAGAUAUCGGGAGGAACACCAGUGGCGAAGGCGGUUCUCUGGGCCUGUACUGACGCUGAGGAGCGAAAGCGUGGGGAGCGAACAGG
rnacentral:rRNA from 1 species